AAGAACAAAAGCCUCACAGAUCCCUCAGGGAAGUUUGAGGUGUCUGAGUCCUAGGACGUUUCAGCCUAACCUUGACUGCUGUGUCUGCGAGUGUGACCAUAGGGGACUCUGAAUUCACAUGUAUCCUUUCUCUGUGACUUCUUGGUUAUGAAUGAAUCAAAUUCGAAGUCCAAAUUUAGUAGGCUUAGCUUGUCAGAACCUAACCUUAUAUAAGCCUAAAUCAAGACGGGGCUCUACAUUCUUCUUGUGUCUCUCACACCAGCACACAGCACCGUGCUCCCAGACCAUGUAGACCCCAGGGAUGCAGACCAUGCUGAUUCACCUGCGCCUCUCAGGAAACCUUUCACUGACAAGCCUUCAGGAUGUGUUUGCUGAUAUUCGCCAAGAACAGAGGCUUCAAAGACGUGUAUGUUUGGGAACAAUUAAGAAGCUCAUCUGGCUGAGCAGAGCCUCAGUGGGCAGGGAACCCUGGCCUAUUCUAAUUUCAUAUACUUUUGGAAAAGUACAAGGAGGUAAGAUUGUAAAGAACCUUGAAGACUUCAUGCAUAAACCUCAAAAUUAAAAAAAUGCAUUUACUGGCACCUGCCUGCAAUAUGCAAGGCACUCUAUUCAGGCUGGGAUGUAUCAAGACUUGAGUGUGACUCAAUAAAAUGUCCACAUGGACAGUUCCA
rnacentral:lncRNA from 12 species